rnacentral:lncRNA from 1 species
AUUGUAUUCUACUUCAGGAGAAAGGCAUUAGAUUAUCAGCGCUUUGAACUUCAAUUACUUUAUAAUAGCUGAAGAAUUGAGUUUGUAUAGAACAAAACUCCUUAGGCAAAUAUUUUCCAUGUAAAUUUCACUCUUUUGCAUUACUUGCAAGAACUACAUAACAUAAUUAUUAAAAAAAAACAAAACAAAAAAACGACAGCAACAACAAAAUAUGCUCUAGUCUGGAAACAAUGAGUUUUAUAUGAUUCUGUGCUGUUUUAAUAAAAAUCAUCCACAAAUCCACU